GAUGAACGCUAGCUACAGGCUUAACACAUGCAAGCCGAGGGGCAGCAUUUCAGUUUGCUUGCAAACUGGAGAUGGCGACCGGCGCACGGGUGAGUAACACGUAUCCAACCUGCCGAUAACUCGGGGAUAGCCUUUCGAAAGAAAGAUUAAUACCCGAUGGUAUAAUCAGACCGCAUGGUCUUGUUAUUAAAGAAUUUCGGUUAUCGAUGGGGAUGCGUUCCAUUAGGCAGUUGGUGAGGUAACGGCUCACCAAACCUUCGAUGGAUAGGGGUUCUGAGAGGAAGGUCCCCCACAUUGGAACUGAGACACGGUCCAAACUCCUACGGGAGGCAGCAGUGAGGAAUAUUGGUCAAUGGGCGCAGGCCUGAACCAGCCAAGUAGCGUGAAGGAUGACUGCCCUAUGGGUUGUAAACUUCUUUUAUAUGGGAAUAAAGUUUUCCACGUGUGGAAUUUUGUAUGUACCAUAUGAAUAAGGAUCGGCUAACUCCGUGCCAGCAGCCGCGGUAAUACGGAGGAUCCGAGCGUUAUCCGGAUUUAUUGGGUUUAAAGGGAGCGUAGGUGGACAGUUAAGUCAGUUGUGAAAGUUUGCGGCUCAACCGUAAAAUUGCAGUUGAUACUGGCUGUCUUGAGUACAGUAGAGGUGGGCGGAAUUCGUGGUGUAGCGGUGAAAUGCUUAGAUAUCACGAAGAACUCCGAUUGCGAAGGCAGCUCACUGGACUGCAACUGACACUGAUGCUCGAAAGUGUGGGUAUCAAACAGGAUUAGAUACCCUGGUAGUCCACACAGUAAACGAUGAAUACUCGCUGUUUGCGAUAUACAGUAAGCGGCCAAGCGAAAGCAUUAAGUAUUCCACCUGGGGAGUACGCCGGCAACGGUGAAACUCAAAGGAAUUGACGGGGGCCCGCACAAGCGGAGGAACAUGUGGUUUAAUUCGAUGAUACGCGAGGAACCUUACCCGGGCUUAAAUUGCAUUUGAAUAUAUUGGAAACAGUAUAGCCGUAAGGCAAAUGUGAAGGUGCUGCAUGGUUGUCGUCAGCUCGUGCCGUGAGGUGUCGGCUUAAGUGCCAUAACGAGCGCAACCCUUAUCUUUAGUUACUAACAGGUCAUGCUGAGGACUCUAGAGAGACUGCCGUCGUAAGAUGUGAGGAAGGUGGGGAUGACGUCAAAUCAGCACGGCCCUUACGUCCGGGGCUACACACGUGUUACAAUGGGGGGUACAGAAGGCAGCUACCUGGUGACAGGAUGCUAAUCCCAAAAGCCUCUCUCAGUUCGGAUCGAAGUCUGCAACCCGACUUCGUGAAGCUGGAUUCGCUAGUAAUCGCGCAUCAGCCAUGGCGCGGUGAAUACGUUCCCGGGCCU
rnacentral:rRNA from 1 species